ensembl:lncRNA
AGAAGCCAUACAGAAGCGAGUUGAACGCCACAUCUUGCAGCCUCUCACCGAUGUAACGCUUACAGAAAGUGCCAGACAGUUCCCUGAGCAGCAGUCCCUAUGAGAAUCACACCAAGCGACAGCAGUGUCCAGCAAACUGCUGGAUCAGAGUUCAGCACAGCAUCAGCUCUGGGCUCCGUAGGGAUACCUGUGGAUACCUGUAACAUAGCUCAAAGGUACUUAUGGAGUUCUGGUAAGUAAUUGCACCUGUUUCUGUGCCAAGAAGUUAUGAAAGUGAUGUGGGCUUAACCCUCUCAAGGGAAACAUUGUCUGAGUUUAACUUAGUUUUCACUCAGACAUGCAAUGUUAGUAAACGUUUUCUGAAAUGGCAAAGUUAACAUAGCUCUCUGACCUGCAGUAUGAGAAUAACACCAGGAAGGUGAGUACCUUGCA